rfam:Nematostella vectensis strain CH2 x CH6 NEMVEscaffold_33_Cont5749, whole genome shotgun sequence.
ACUUCUCUUUAAAAGCACCACAUUUCAACUGAAACCAAUUCCUUGGAUUAGUAAUGAGAAUGUUGGCCGUCAAGAGAAGGAGAGAAUUGCAGUUUAAAUGGGUGAGACCAAGGAGGGCCUCUUUCUUAAUGCCCAAUGUCUUGUGUCUCAAUCCAAACUGCUACAUUU